rnacentral:rRNA from 1 species
AACGAACGCUGGCGGCAUGCCUAACACAUGCAAGUCGAACGAGAUCUUCGGGUCUAGUGGCGCACGGGUGCGUAACGCGUGGGAAUCUGCCCUUUGGUUCGGAAUAACAGUUGGAAACGACUGCUAAUACCGGAUGAUGACGAAAGUCCAAAGAUUUAUCGCCAGAGGAUGAGCCCGCGUAAGAUUAGCUAGUUGGUGUGGUAAAGGCGAACCAAGGCGACGAUCCUUAGCUGGUCUGAGAGGAUGAUCAGCCACACUGGGACUGAGACACGGCCCAGACUCCUACGGGAGGCAGCAGUGGGGAAUAUUGGACAAUGGGCGAAAGCCUGAUCCAGCAAUGCCGCGUGAGUGAUGAAGGCCUUAGGGUUGUAAAGCUCUUUUACCCGGGAUGAUAAUGACAGUACCGGGAGAAUAAGCUCCGGCUAACUCCGUGCCAGCAGCCGCCGUAA